AUUGAACGCUGGCGGCAUGCCUUACACAUGCAAGUCGAACGGUAGCGGGCCUUCGGGUGCCGACGAGUGGCGAACGGGUGAGUAAUGUAUCGGAACGUACCUUUCAGUGGGGGAUAACGUAGCGAAAGUUACGCUAAUACCGCAUAUUCUGUGCGCAGGAAAGCAGGGGAUCGCAAGACCUUGCGCUGAUUGAGCGGCCGAUAUCAGAUUAGCUAGUUGGUGAGGUAAAGGCUCACCAAGGCGACGAUCUGUAGCGGGUCUGAGAGGAUGAUCCGCCACACUGGAACUGAGACACGGUCCAGAAUCCUACGGGAGGCAGCAGUGGGGAAUUUUGGACGAUGGGGGCAACCCUGAUCCAGCCAUGCCGCGUGAGUGAAGAAGGCCUUCGGGUUGUAAAGCUCUUUCGGCCGGGAAGAAAUCGUAUCAGCUAAUACCUGGUGCGGAUGACGGUACCGGCAUAAGAAGCACCGGCUAACUACGUGCCAGCCGCCGCCGUAAAAC
rnacentral:rRNA from 1 species